UCGGCGUUAUCGACUGUCGCCUAUCAGUUGUAAUGAAACUAAACACAAGGAAGGGGUCACGGUUGUAUAGUGGUGGCGGUGGGCAACGGUCGUCGUUCGUUCGCUGUGUCUACUUUUAGUGUCUUUUUUUCUAAGUCGUUGUUCCUUUUAUAGCCGCCGUCAGUGAUAAUUGUAAUUUUAAUUUUAAUAUUUUAUUAAUUUUAUGAUAGUUUUGACUUUUUAAACCGUUGCCGUUUAUCGUUUUACGUUUUUAUGACUAGAAACGACAGUCGUUAUACUCGUCCGCUGUCGGAAUUUGUAUCUACUUUCUGUUACAGUCUAUGGCCGCCGGUUAUCGCCAUCAGUGAUUAUUAUAUUUUAUUAGCUUUACGAGUUAGCGAAUAUCAUAAAUUCUGGCUGGCUGAAUUGGGGAAAAAAACCAGAAAAAGAAUAUGAUUGUGCUAUUAUAAAAAAAUCACUCGUCUACCGCCUACUGCCUAAAUUCUGCGUUGGAUAGCAAAAUUUUGUGUUAAGAAAGUCACAAAUUAUGAUAAACAUCCUAAAACUAUAUUGCUAAAAUCAUGUGAAGCAAGAAAUUCAGCAUGUAGCAAUCAAGAAAUGUUCAAUAUUGAUCAAAGUUCUGCAAACAUUUCACAGGAACUCACUGUAUAAAUGGCUAGCAGCACCUAUAUGUUAUUUGCAAUGAACACAUUAUUAAACAUGAAUAAUCAAAAUGUAAAUGUUUAUGAGUCUGCAUCUCCUUUGUGUUCUGAAAAGAUAACACAGAUGUCACAGUUAUCGACACUCCGCCUAUUACUAUCUGCCUCAGCUAUACUAAAUAACGAUUCUAACAAUUUUGCUGUAAUCGUGGUGAGUUGUAGUUAUGUCUUAACUUUAAGAUUUUUUUAAUGUAAAUAUGUCACGUUUAAAAGGUGACAAUUUAAAACCAUUUAACCAUUGCAAAAACAUUGAUGCACUCAUGUAAUUUACAUACACCUUACAUUAAAUUAUGCUUUGCUUAAAACUAAAAACUGUUUAUAUUUACUAAAAAAUAUACAUGAAGAUAUCUAAUAUCAUGUAACUUAUUGUAUUUAGUACCUAUUGUUGUAUAAUAACUAUUAAAAAAAUAAUAUUU